rnacentral:rRNA from 1 species
GAGUUUGAUCCUGGCUCAGAACGAACGCUGGCGGCAGGCCUAACACAUGCAAGUCGAACGCUCAUAGCAAUACGAGAGUGGCAGACGGGUGAGUAACACGUGGGAACCUUCCCUUUGGUUCGGAAUAGCUCAGGGGAACUUGGGGUAAUACCGGAUAAGCCCUUACGGGGAAAGAUUUAUCGCCGAAGGAUGGGCCCGCGUCGGAUUAGCUAGUUGGUGAGGUAACGGCUCACCAAGGCGACGAUCCGUAGCUGGUCUGAGAGGAUGAUCAGCCACACUGGGACUGAGACACGGCCCAGACUCCUACGGGAGGCAGCAGUGGGGAAUAUUGGACAAUGGGCGCAAGCCUGAUCCAGCCAUGCCGCGUGAGUGACGAAGGUCUUCGGAUUGUAAAGCUCUUUUGGCGGGGACGAUAAUGACGGUACCCGCAGAAUAAGCCCCGGCUAACUUCGUGCCAGCAGCCGCCGCCGUAAC